rnacentral:lncRNA from 1 species
AAAGUCACCCUGUAAGCUACUCCUUCAUUUUAAUACAGGAACAGUGGGAAUACAGAGAUGUUUUCCAUUUUGCAAGCUGUGUUAGGACAGCAAUUUGGUAGAACUGGGACAGUGGAGCCUGGAUCACCUGAGUUUGUAUUUUGUGUAUUUUGAAUGAGAAACCACAGUCUCUCUUUUUAUAGGAAAUUGCCAUAUUCCUAUUAUCCAACACUUUAAGGGCCUGUGUAUAACAUUCUAUUUCAUUUAUCCCAGAUGCAUUUUCAUCCAAAACUCUUUCAAAUGUCUAUCUUCAAAGUGCUUCUAUAAAAGCAACACUACAUGUAUUCAUGAACUGAUUUAAAUAUUCCUACGGUAGUUUAUAUCUUCUUUUGCCCCUCUAAAUACUAAAUUUUGGUAGAGCUUCUGUUUCUUAUUUUGUCUCUUUUCAUUACUGCUGCCAAUGUAAAACUUCUCUUAAAAAUCUUUGUUUUGAAUGUAUAUGAAUUUUAUGUAUCAUAUGUCAGUUAGACUCAGUAUUCUGUUUUGAACUAAACAUAUCCUGUCAAGAGCUUGUUGUGUAGUCUCAUCGCUUCCUCUAACAGCAACAAAUUUAGUGAUAUAUCUGCCCAAGUGAUAUUUUGCCCCAACAUUUGUGAGUCUGAUCAACAAACAGAAUGAGUCUUCUAUAUCAGAAAUACUGUGAAUGAAAAGCUGCCAAAUCCCUUCUUGGUAUAUUUUAAAUACCCCUACAACACUUUACCUCCCUGUCUUUAAUGGUUUAAACAUAUGGCCAAGUUUGAUUUGGGUUUGAUUCCUUUGGUGAAGAGUACAUCAUCAAAACAUUUCUAAAUAAACAUUUGAGCACAAGGCUAGGUUGGAAUGUCAAAGACUAUAUUGUAAUUUGGUUUGAAUAUACUAGAGUGAGCAAUUUUGAUUUGCCUAAGAACAACAAAUUCCAAAUGUGUAUUUCACUUUUUUCUACUUGAAGACAUUCAUGUAUUUUGUUUAACCUCAG